AUUUAAUUUUUACACAGCCAUUGAUUAACGAGUGCAGAAAAGAGGGUAGUUGUGUUUAAUGAAGCUAUAGUUGUGAGUAUUCACCCGGUUGAACAUUAGACAUCAGCGAAGGAUAUCUUUAUAAGCUUGGCAUCCAGAGACGUGCAACAAAUCCAAAUGACAGACAAAGAUUUUGGAUUGCCAUAAUUGUAUCAUGUCAUCAAGUAUACAUAUGUUGUGAAGAUGGUCACGGAGGGGAGAUGUAUGAAUUAUUUAGUUUAAUUUACAUCAUCAAUUGGGAUUAUCAUAAUUAGAUGUUUAAAGUGAUUGAUUUGUAACAACAAGAUGAUAAAACCAUAUUUGAGUUGUCAAUUGAAGUUGAACACAAAGAAUUGGAGUCUCUGCCAUGGUUAUGGCUUCGGUUAAAAAUGAAGAACUCGGAAACUUUGAUGACAAGGGUAUACAGGGAACUUUGGGAGGGUCUUAUAUAUUGCCAGGUGAUAUUUUGACCGGUCAACAACUAAUACUGACUACUUAACCGAAUAUUUGGAUGGAUAGAAUACAUUUCUUAAUUUUUUCUGUUACGGGAUAGAUCUCCAAACGAAUUGGUGAAAAUGGGACAUAUUCCCAACUUUUCCAAAAAAAAAACUCAUCGUUCAUAGCUUUCCCCUGCUCAGAUUUGAUCUUGAUGACCAGAUCUCAGCAGUCGGAAUCAAAAUUUCAACAUCAGUCUAGGUUGUUCAUAAGUUUUCAGAUCAUGAUGGUGGUGACGGCAGUCUGAUUUCAGUUGGGGUUUCUAGUUUGCAUUCAAGCAGACGAUUUUAGAUGGAAGUGUUCUUGACAGAGGGUGGUGGUGAUUGUCGGAAAACCUGCUUUACAUCCGUUUUUGAUGAUUUCACUGGGGUUUCUGUGCUUAUGCAGAGAAGAAGUCAUCAGGUUCUUGAUCUUGUUUCAAGGUUCCUGUUAUUGUUGAAGUGUUGGUUUUUGUUCUUGUUUGUGUUAAUCCAUAAAAAAAAAUCCUUUGUUUUCAAUCAAUACCAUUCAAAAUCACUUAGUUCUUCGAUCAAAGGUACUUGUUUACAACGAAGAAAAGGUAGCGACGAUUUUGUAAUGGUGAUUUGGUUCGAAAGAGGAUUUGCUUUCCAUCGAUGGAUUGUUGCAGGUGGGAGUCUGGUGGAAGUAGCGGCGGAAUUAGGGAUUUGGUGACGGGAAGAUACCUACUACCUUAGCUAUUUUUUAGGGUUUUGGUUUCUUUGGGCUUUUAUAUGGGUUUUUCAUUUUGGGUCGUUAUUAGUUGAUGGGUUUUCUUUUGUCCUAUGAAAAUUUGUACUGAGGGUUUCUACUUUCUAUGUGGGUUUAUCUCGUAUGAGGGUUGGGCUAUUACUUAUUGUACCUAACAAUUCUAUAUUAUCUAUAAAAAUCGAUCUUUACCGAUCAGAAAAAAAUUAAUAAUUU